GUUUGGAUCGGCGCAGGAAGGGGGCUCCCAGCUGGUGCUGCUGCAUCUUCCACCAGAUGAUCCAACUGAGGAAUGAAGAACAGUGUUCGAAUUAAACCUAAUGACAGAUUCCUUGGGCUGCCUCCGAACGCAUGGACCCCUUGCAUUUGUUAGGUCUCCCCUGGAGGGAAUUCCACAGCAAGUGCCACUCUCCCUUGGGGAUCUCAGAAUCUGCUCUGGAAUUAGACUUCAUCGAGGCUGACCCAGAGGGGACCAGAGGGGACAGAGAAGCCACCAUCCCUUGGCCUGGCCAAGACUUCCCAGAGGAAGGUGGGACAUCUCUACUGCUCUGUCAUUUGGA